rnacentral:rRNA from 1 species
GAUGAACGCUGGCGGCGUGCUUAACACAUGCAAGUCGAACGGAAAGGCCCAAGCUUGCUUGGGUACUCGAGUGGCGAACGGGUGAGUAACACGUGGGUGAUCUGCCCUGCACUUCGGGAUAAGCCUGGGAAACUGGGUCUAAUACCGGAUAGGACCACUUCUUGGAUGUUGUGGUGGAAAGUUUUUUCGGUGUGGGAUGAGCUCGCGGCCUAUCAGCUUGUUGGUGGGGUAAUGGCCUACCAAGGCGUCGACGGGUAGCCGGCCUGAGAGGGUGUACGGCCACAUUGGGACUGAGAUACGGCCCAGACUCCUACGGGAGGCAGCAGUGGGGAAUAUUGCACAAUGGGCGCAAGCCGGAUGCAGCGACGCCGCGUGGGGGAUGACGGCCUUAGGGUUGUAAACUCCUUUCGCUAGGGACGAAGCGUUUUGUGACGGUACCUGGAGAAGAAGCACCGGCUAACUACGUG